rnacentral:rRNA from 1 species
GAUAACCUCCGGAAACUGGGGAUAAUUCCGGAUAGCGCAUAUUUGCUGGAAUGCUUUAUGCGUCAAAAGGAUUCGUCUGCCCAAGGAUGGGUCUGCGGCCUAUCAGGUAGUAGUGGGUGUAAUGUACCUACUAGCCAGCGACGGGUACGGGUUGUGAGAGCAAGAGCCCGGAGAUGGAUUCUGAGACAUGAAUCCAGGCCCUACGGGGCGCAGCAGGCGCGAAAACUUUACAAUGCGGGAAACUGUGAUAAGGGGACACCGAGUGCCAGCAUCAUAUGCUGGCUGUCCGGAUGUGUAAAAUACAUCCGUUAGCAAGGGCCGGGCAAGACCGGUGCCAGCUGCCGCGGUAACACCGGCGGCCCGAGUGGUGAUCGUGAUUAUUGGGUCUAAAGGGUCCGUAGCCGGUUUGGUCAGUCCUCCGGGAAAUCUGAUAGCUCAACUAUUAGGCUUUCGGGGGAUACUGCCAGACUUGGAACCGGGAGAGGUAAGAGGUACUACAGGGGUAGGAGUGAAAUCUUGUAAUCCCUGUGGGACCACCUGUGGCGAAGGCGUCUUACCAGAACGGGUUCGACGGUGAGGGACGAAAGCUGGGGGCACGAACCGGAUUAGAUACCCGGGUAGUCCCAGCCGUAAACGAUGCUCGCUAGGUGUCAGGCAUGGCGCGACCGUGUCUGGUGCCGCAGGGAAGCCGUGAAGCGAGCCACCUGGGAAGUACGGCCGCAAGGCUGAAACUUAAAGGAAUUGGCGGGGGAGCACAACAACGGGUGGAGCCUGCGGUUUAAUUGGACUCAACGCCGGACAACUCACCGGGGGCGACAGCAAUAUGUAGGCCAAGCUGAAGACUUUGCCUGAAUCGCUGAGAGGAGUGCAU